GACGAACGCUGGCGGCGUGCCUAACACAUGCAAGUCGAGCGAUUUACUUCGGUAAAGAGCGGCGGACGGGUGAGUAACGCGUGGGUAACCUGCCCUGUACACACGGAUAACAUACCGAAAGGUAUGCUAAUACGAGAUAAUAUGCUUUUAUCGCAUGGUAGAAGUAUCAAAGCUCCGGCGGUACAGGAUGGACCCGCGUCUGAUUAGCUAGUUGGUAAGGUAACGGCUUACCAAGGCGACGAUCAGUAGCCGACCUGAGAGGGUGAUCGGCCACAUUGGAACUGAGACACGGUCCAAACUCCUACGGGAGGCAGCAGUGGGGAAUAUUGCACAAUGGGCGAAAGCCUGAUGGAGCAACGCCGCGUGAGCCAUGAAGGCCUUCGGGUCGUAAAGCUCUGUCCUCAAGGAAGAUAAUGACGGUACUUGAGGAGGAAGCCCCGGCUAACUACGUGCCAGCCGCCGCGGUAA
rnacentral:rRNA from 1 species